UCUUGGUUUCACUUUUGCUCAGGGAGUCAAGAGUUUGUUUUGUUCCUAUUUUUACCAUCUGCAACUCUGUUUUAAAGUGUGGGUUCCCUGAACAUCUCCAGGAGGGUUGGGAGGUCACCUCUUAACCCAGGACUCUUCUCAGUCUGAGAAAAUCUGACAGCUGCUCUGAUAUUUGGUUGGAGGCUUUGAAAGAGUCAUAGGAAUCAUCAUAACAAUUCUGAACUCUUUCAUCUGAAGAUCUCAAAGACCUGCAUAAACAUUAAUUAUUCUCAUAGCACUGCUUGGAGUCUAGUUAAUAUGGGGAAACCGACCCCACCCCCCAUACAUCUGACAGCAGGAACUCAAGACAGGACGGCCAGCUCUGUUAGAAGCUUUGGGGCUCCAUAUUUACCCAGAUGCCAGAGUAUCCAGAGUCCUCUGAAAAUGAAAACUGCUCUUUCCAAAAGGACUCCUGCCAUUGUGAUAUCAUCCACCAUGUCUUCCACCAGAGCCAAGAAGAAGCCAGCAUCAUGCUCUUAGACCUCUAAAACUAUAAGCUAAGUAACCUCUUUUCUUUGUAAAGUACUCAGUCUCAAGUAUUUUGUUAUAACAAAAUUGUUAUAACAACAGAAAACAAACUAAGACAUGAGACAAUCUCCAGAAAUAGUCAGGGGUGACUCUGGCCAAGAGCUAAUGUGAAAAGAACACCCACCUCUCUGAGACUGGAGGAAGGAAGGGCUGGCCAGAUGGAGAAGUCUGCAGGUGGGAGGAGCCGGAAGAAUUCACACUUGAUUCCCUCUGCUUGGUGACCUAGGAGGCAAUGAUUUGUGCUAAGCACUAGAACUAGAGAACAAUCACUCCUUUUACAACCAUGCUUUCAAAAAGAAUAGUUUGUCUUGUUCUUUUCUAAAGAGUUUUCUCUGCUCUCUUAUUGAGGGUGCUAAGUACUGCUGGCUUUUAAUAUCAAAACUAAUAAGAGGUUAAGGAUGUUGACUCUGGAGCCAGACUGCCUGGUUGGAAUCUCAUUAUGGCUACUUUGUGACAUUGGAUGAGAAACUUUGUCUCCAUGCCUCAGCUUUCUCAUCUGUAAAGUGGGGCUGAUAAUAAUAGGAUCUGCUUCAUAGGUGUCCGGAGGAUUAAAGGAGUACACUCAUGGAAAGCGCCUAUGACCAUGGCUGGCCCACAAUAAGCAGUCAGUGGACGUAGGCUGUUAUUACUGCAGAGGAGAGAGGCAGGAUGUAGGAGGUAACUUGAGCAAGUGGAAGAGCUGGGCAGGAAACAAAAAGGAUGUCAGCAAGGACGGUAACAUAUUGCUGAUAGAAAGGAGAGAGAGAUCCCAGGGCCCAGUCGAAGUUGGAGGUGUUUUGGGGUGUUCACUCCCUGGUGUCAGGAGUUGCCCUGAGGCUAGAAUGAGAGUCAAGAAGAAAACAGAGUUUCAGUCUAUGCAGAGAAUGUGGACAGGUAUAGAUGGGUCCAGACAUCCUGCUGGUACUGUCUAGGUGCUGGGCAGCCCAGGGACCUGGUGGCUGGGCUGCCCCACAGGUAAGGACAAGAUGUUACUCUACCCAAGGCCAUUUGGGUUACAGGGAACAGGUGUCCAUGGGAACCAACUCAGGUCAAAGAGGUUAGGGUGGUCAGUGGGUGUUACAGGACACAGCAGGCAAUCUUGAGUUAUGAAUUCAAAGAGCAGGAAAUGGGGCUCAACAGAUGGAGUCUCAGGGGACAGGGUGGGACCAGAAGGGAGGUUCCUCUCUGCUUUAUGAGCUUUAGGGUCCUUCAGCUGCACCUCUCCCCACUCAUCUCUCUUGACCAGUCUUCUGCUUUUUUUAUGUUGUUGUUGUUUUCCUCUUAUUUUUGCAGAGCUGGGGAUUGACUCAAAGCCUCCUGCACACUAAGCAGGUGCUCUACUACUGAGCCACACCCUGGCCCUGCUUCACGUUCUCAUCAGGGGCAGCUUUCUGUCCCUCUUAUCUGCAAAAUGAUCACAGCCCUGAGUAUUACAAUGUUCAAGCAACAGCAGUCAAUGCAUAGUAUACCUGAUGGACUGGCAGGUAUCAGAGCCAGAUAUCCUAUUCUGAGCUGAUGAGGCCAGAUGCCCUACCCUGGGCCCUCAGCCAUGGGCAGGGUGUGUAUCUUGGCAAAUGCAUUACAAAAUUAGUAUUCCCAUAAAAUAAGUUUGGGUUUCCUCUCAUGUUUCAUGUAAAAGUAAAAACAGAAACUCAGUGAUUUCAUUGAGGUUUUUGGUUUUUUGCUUCAUCAGAACUUCCUCUGCCCCGAGGGAACUGAAUGAAGGCUACAGAUGGAAGCCUGUGCUCCCCUCCACUUUCUCCAGAUGCUUGCUCUAGUGUCUCCCAUUUUUCCCACUUUCAGAGCCUUUUUUUCCAACUUUCUUUCAAAAUUAUUUCAUUUUUUUUCUGAGUUCUUUCCUGGCUGACUCCUCUUACUUCCCUGGAUGUCCCCCCCCGCAUCUUUUCUUCUCCACUCCUAACAGUUUAAUGAAAAUUCUAACACAGAGAAAAGUUAGAAUAGUGAGAUGGCAGCUGUAUACAUCUCGAUUCAGCAGGCCACCUUUGCCAUAUUUGCUUUCUCCUCUCUUCCCCCACAUCCUCUCCUCCCCCUCCUAGAGAAUAAGAAAAAUCCAUUACAUAACUCCAAUACCGUUAUCAUUCCUAAUGAAAUUAACAACAACUCUAUGUUGUCUUAGACUGUUUUGUACAACAAUAACUGAGUAUUCCAGACUGAAUAAUUCAUAAAGAACAGAACCUUGUGCUGGGAGUGUAGUUUCAGUUGUAGAGUACUUGCCUAGCAUGCACGAGGCCCUGGGUUCCAUCCCCAGCACUGCACGUAUACAACAAAUGAACAAAACCCUGAGCUUUAUUUCCCGCAGUUCUGGGGGUACAGAUGCAGCAAAUGCUGGGUCCUCAAUAAAUGGUAGAGUGGCAGAACAUAUACUCUGUGAAGUCUCUUUAAUAAAGCCUUUAAUCCCAUUAACAAGGAAGGAGCCCAUAUGACCGAAUCAUCUCUUAAAGGGCUCAUUGUCAUGUUGGGAAAACCUGGACUCUGAAGGGAACACAGUCAAACCGUAUCCCAUGACUCUUACAUCUUCCAUAUUCAGAUUUCCCCAGUUGUCUGUCCUAGCUGUUGGAUUCCUAACUCUUCUCAUUUCCAAACUGUAUUCUGAUUCUUGAAUCUCAGCUGCCCUCUUCUUCACAGGGAACAUUCUCUUGGCAGGAUCCAAGAAGUGUUAAAUUAACCUCAAGAAAAACCCACAGGAUUCUGUAAUCCACAGGGAUAUUCAUAUCUCCCCAUGUUCUGCUUGGGGAAAAGAAAAAUCAGUCCAUUUCUUUGGGGCUCCAAUCACAAUCACAUCUGUGUUCUUCAUCACCCUCUGUAGAGUCCCUGGUUUGCAUUUGGUUCACAAGCAACAUCUCAGGGAGGGUCACACCCCUCUCAUCAUCUCAGGAAUGGCAGUUAAGGUUUGGGCCAUUUCUCUGAAAGGCUGACCCCAAUGAUUUUUCCUAAUUUCAUUUUCAAAGAGUAGUUUUUGCUUCACUUAGGUUCCAGUGCUUUCUAAAACCUUUUUGGAAUGCUAAGAGAAGCAGUAACAGGAGAAAGCAAUUCUGGAUGGAUUUUUUUCUUUUCUUAAUCUAAUUAAUCAUUUUCCAAUGUUUUGUUAGGCGGGAAUAUUUUAUGAUUUUUUUUCUUUUUCUUUCUUUCUUUCUUUUUUUUUUUUUUUUUUUUUUUUGGUGCUGGGGACUGAACCCAGGGAUUCACACAAUGUUAGGCAAGUGCUCUACCACUGAGUUACAUCCCCAGCCUUUUUUUUAUUUUUGAGACAAAGUCUCUCCAAAUUGCCCAGGCUGGCCUCAAGAUCCUCCUGCCUCAGUCUCCUGACAAGUAGCUGGCAUGCACCACUGAACCCAGAUAAAAUUUUUAAUUAAAAAAAAUUCAGGAGUGAGUUAGAUCUGCCAAGUUCUGAAUAUUCACUUCUGGAAGGGCUAAGCCUUUUUUUCCACCUAAUUUCUUGAUACUCAACUCCUCCAGCUUUUGCACAUUUAGGCGAGAAAUAGGACAGCAGCACUAUGUGAACUCUAGCUCUGCCUUAAGACAGCGCAGGUGCCGGGCACGGUGGUGCAUGCCUGUAAUCCCAGUGGCUUGGGAGUCCUAGGCAAGAGGAUCGUGAGUUCAAAGCCAGCCUCAGCAACUCAGCAAGGUACUAAGCAACUCAGUGACCCUGUCUUUAGAUAAAAGAUUUAAAAGGGCUGGGGAUGUGGCUCAGUAGUUAAGUGUCCCUAGCUAGGUUCAAUCCCCAGUAUCAAAAAAAGAAAAAAUGCAAUAUGGGUUUCUGGGGACUCUACUCCAGGGAUAGUCACUUCACCUAGCUGAUCCACUCUGGGCUGGGCUGAGUUUUGAAACAGUGACCCCAGCAGCCCACAGGUGCAUGUAAUUUCUUAUGCAUGGAGAAAGUUUGGAGUUCUCUAUAGAGAGAAAAAAGAAAUAAGAAUGGAUUUCUCAGGCCUAACCUAUUCCUUCCUCCUCUCUAAUCCAUUUGCCCAGGAUGGGGAGUGAGAGGGGGAGGAAAAAAGAGGAGCGGGGGCACCAAGAAGGAGAGAAAUGGAAUUAACAAAGAAGCACCUGAGAGGUCAACCCCUUGCCUUUCUCCUCCUAGGCUGGAGAAGAUUCUUCCUUGGUACUCUCCAGAAAUCCUCUCAAAGCAAGAGCACGAAGGCUACCCAGCCCCUUCUGCCCCCCACCAUAGGGCCUGUGUUUGUGAGUGAAGAGUUAGCAUGUUCUCCUGUCAGUCUGGUAGAGAAAGAAGCAAUUAGCAGGGCCUGCUGACCCUGAGAAUUUUGUUUUCAAGUUCAGCAUGUAGGGAUUUGUUCAGACGGACUCUUGGCAAACAUCAAAUCCCAGGCAUCAAAGAAAUUUGCUCAACAAAUUCCUAGGAAACCUCCUGGGCAGGUGGUCCUGAACACUUUUCUAUUAGCAGAACCACCCAAAGGGGACCAAACUCCAGAGGUAGAUCCAUCCGGGAAGGAAAAGCAAUAGUUCUACUGUUCCUUCAUUCAGGGCAAAAUUGCCUAGCAUGAGACAUUUGUUCUCAGUGUCUUCUCUCCUCCACUUUGAACUUCCCUAUAAGUUUACUAAACUGAGCUAAACUCAGCUCACCAGGAGGGAGAAGGCCCACUCUGGCUAAGCAAUUCCUCAGUCCCUCCCCUGAGGAGCAUGUGGUCCCAUCUCACUCUGGUCACCAGCACACAGAUCACACCUCCAACCCCCACUGGAAUACAGUGCCCAAGAGCCUUGGAUUGUUUUUAUGUGUGAGCCUGAUCUAGCUUUUAAACUGGGGUUGGAGGAGGGAUAUACUUUUUGUGCUCUUUAAUUCUAGUUCACAAUAAAUUAUGCCUAUUUUAAUUAAUCAUUUAAUAAAUGAACAAAUGAAUGAAUGAGCCUUCAGGAUAUUUAACAAUACCUUUUUAUUAAAACAAUUUGGAGUAUAUGUAAUGGGAGAGGAAGAGAGAAGGGCCAAAAAACCAUAAGUGUCUGGUUGAUUCUCCCCUGCAUCUUCCUGGACAUGUCUCGGAUGCAAGGUCCUGGAGGAAGGCCCUUCUCCAGGGACAGGCUGCAAAGGCCCCAGGAGAAGGGAAAAGUGGGAGGUAUGAUCAUUGGAACUCUAAGGAGAAGCUUCUAAAUCCUGGGUGAGACCUUGUGAUGCUCUUGGGUACCAGUAUUUAUGUUAGUUGGGACUAGUGGGACUUGCCUUUGGAUAGGAUGAUGGCACUACCAACAUGGAAGUUUCCUGGGCAGGAUAAUUGUUGAGAAAACUCACAGUUAUGGCACACUGAGAGGCCUUGGUCGCUACCAACAUAGUGUCUGGAGGUUUCCCUCCAGUAUACCAGGUCAUGUAAGUCACUUUUGACAAAUUCAGGCUAAUAGUCAUCACUGCUAUAUCAUCUAUGUAUAUGUAUGUGUCCUGGAUUUGGGGGAUAAUUCCCAUUUCAAACCUUUGUCCUAUUACCAAUUAUUGUCCUAUUUUGAUUUUUUUUAAUUUAUUUUUUGUCCCCCUGCUCCCCACCCCCCAGCCCCAAGGCACUUUGCCACUGAGCUACUUCCACAGUCCUUUUUAUUUAUUUUCAGACAGGAUCUUGCUAAGUCGCUGAGGUUUACUUUAAACUUGAGAUCCUCUUGCUUCAGCCUCCUGAGUUGCUGGGAUUAUAGGUUUUUGUUCCACCACUCCAGGUCCUGGUGUCUUUAGUUUUGAAAACUCUCCUUAUAAUGUCUUGUGGUUCUCUAUAGAGGAGGGGGGAUCAAGGGGAGGGAAGUGGGGAGGGUAAGGGAAAUUAUUAGGAAGUAAAUUGAUCAGAUUGUUAUGUGCAUAUCCAAACAUGUCACAAUGAAACUUACUAUUCUGUGUAAUUAACAAACACCAAUUAAAAAAUCACAAUAGGAAAAGAUGUCCUAUGGUUAUAAUUGCACUAAUAAGAGUUUUUUUUUUUUAAUUAAAAAUAUUUCCAGAGCUAACAAUAUAGCUCAGUGGUAAAGUUUAGCAUGCAUGAAGCCCCAGGUUUGAUUCUCAGCACUGCAAAAAUUAAAAAGGUCCAAGUGCUUUAUUCUGACAGACAAGGCCAUCUAGGACCAAGUCGCUGUUGUUCUCCAAUCUUUUCUCCAGAGAUUUCCUGUCAAAAUGAUGUGACUCUUUCCAGUGAUAAGCUACUUUGGGUGUUCAAGAAACCCAGAAGCAAGGGCAAGCUGAUCCCUCCUGGGAAUACCAUCCUAAGAUAAACCAGUCUUACUGAAACCCCUUGCAAACUAUGCUGAAGCUGACAACACUGGACUACGCUAUUAUAUUUGGCAAGCCUCUUUCCGAAGUAAUCCUACCAAAUACUGAGACGGUUACAAGGCCCACUCUGGCUGGUAGGACAAACUCCCAGGACAGGCCCUGUACAGUUAACGUUGUAUUCCAUACAUUGUUUUAGAGGCUUACAAAAUACAGCCAUCUUGCAUCAGGCACCCUGGCCCAGGGAGAGGGCGAGCCCCGUCCCCUGGAACGGCAAACAGUCACCUCCGAGGGGAUGACUGUCCACCGCGCAGCCCGAAGCGCACCUUGGCU